UACAGAGGUCUCAAGCGUUGUUCGGAUUCAUUGGGCGUAAAGGGUGCGUAGGCGGCGCGGUAAGUCGGGUGUGAAAUCUUGGAGCUUAACUCCGAAACUGCAUUGCGAUACUGCCGUGCUUGAGGACUGGAGAGGAGACUGGAAUUUACGGUGUAGCGGUGAAAUGCGUAGAUAUCGUAAGGAAGACCAGUGGCGAAGGCGGG
rnacentral:rRNA from 1 species